rnacentral:rRNA from 1 species
UAGGGAAUUUUGCGCAAUGGACGAAAGUCUGACGCAGCAACUCCGUGUGAGGGAUGACGGCCUUCGGGUUGUAAACCUCUGUUGGGUGAGAAGAAAAUCUUCUGUGCUAAUCAGCAGGAGACUGACGGUAUCACCUUAGAAAGCUCCGGCUAACUACGUGCCAGCAGCCGCGGUAAUACGUAGGGAGCGAGCGUUGUUCGGAAUCACUGGGCGUAAAGCGAGUGUAGGCGGGAAGGUAAGUUAGGAGUGAAAUCUGUGGGCUCAACCCACAAUCUGCUUUUAAUACUGCUUUUCUUGAGUAUGGGAGAGGUAGACGGAAUUCCAGGUGUAGCGGUGGAAUGCGUAGAUAUCUGGAAGAACACCAGUUGCGAAGGCGGUCUACUGGCCCAAUACUGACGCUGAGGCUCGAAAGUUAGGGGAGCAAACAGG